rnacentral:rRNA from 1 species
UACGAAGGGGGCUAGCGUUGCUCGGAAUCACUGGGCGUAAAGCGCACGUAGGCGGAUUGUUAAGUCAGGGGUGAAAUCCUGGAGCUCAACUCCAGAACUGCCUUUGAUACUGGCAAGCUUGGAGUCCGGGAGAGGUGAGUGGAAUUCCUAGUGUAGAGGUGAAAAUUCGUAGAUAUUAGGAAGAACACCAGUGGCGAAGGCGGCUCACUGGCCCGGUACUGACGCUGAGGCGCGAAAGCGUGGGGAGCAAACAGG